AGCGAACGCUGGCGGCAGGCCUAACACAUGCAAGUCGAACGGUCCUUCGGGACAGUGGCGGACGGGUGAGUAACGCGUGGGAACGUGCCCUUAGGUUCGGAACAACUCAGGGAAACUUGAGCUAAUACCGAAUGUGCCCUACGGGGGAAAGAUUUAUCGCCUUUGGAGCGGCCCGCGUCUGAUCAGCUAGUUGGUGAGGUAAAGGCUCACCAAGGCUACGAUCAGUAGCUGGUCUGAGAGGAUGAUCAGCCACACUGGGACUGAGACACGGCCCAGACUCCUACGGGAGGCAGCAGUGGGGAAUCUUGCGCAAUGGGCGAAAGCCUGACGCAGCCAUGCCGCGUGAAUGAUGAAGGUCUUAGGAUUGUAAAAUUCUUUCACCGGGGACGAUAAUGACGGUACCCGGAGAAGAAGCCCGGCUAACUUCGUGCCAGCAGCCGCGGUAAUACGAAGGGGGCUAGCGUUGCUCGGAAUUACUGGGCGUAAAGGGCGCGUAGGCGGACAGUUU
rnacentral:rRNA from 1 species